AGGAACCCCAAAUACAUACAUGCAUGCACAAUCACAUGACUGGACACUGAUAUUUUCAGUGGUGAAACCAGGACCCACGUCUUGCUUUUCAAGGAGUACAUUGUAGGUGGAGUUCUUCAGAAAAGGAGACAUCUUUAUGCUCUCAAUGCUUGAAUUUGAGAGACUGCUUGCAUGGCUUGCGGUUUCAGCUUCAUUCGUUUGGGUGGGUUUUAAGAGAGACUGGAAGUUCCCUGCUGAGCUGUGAGGUGAAGUGGAGCUUGUUCCAGCCUCAGGGAUACAGAAACCAGGCACAGGUUUGGAUUCUACGUACAAGCUUCGGAAUUCUCUGUCAAAGUCCUCAACGAUUUUGCCUCGGAAGUGUGUCACCAAGCAGGUGUGAACUUGACUGCAAAGCCAAGUAAAACUGGAAAACAAAUUGAAAGCUGACAUGACUCAAUAGAGAUGAUUAGCAGGUACUGAGCUCGCUGAAGUCUCAGGAUACCAAUCCCCGAACCUGGGUUAAACUAUUUAAUUUUGGACAGCGACCAGGUCAUGUUAACACGUGACUCUUUGGGUCCACACAUUUCAUCUACAUUAUAUAAGAGAUUGCUAUCUGAAUGAUAACCUGAGCGAUGGGCUGGCUGUCCGACAGUGACCCCCGGUCCGGAAAGGAGGGAAGCAGCAAGGCAUAAAGUAUUUUCUGGCUACUACGUUCCCUACAGUAACAGAGAGUUCUAUCAAGCUGCCUGCUGCUUGCGGAUCAUGUAAUGAAAUAAAAAUACCAAAAAUUAA